rnacentral:rRNA from 1 species
UACGAGGGGGGCGAGCGUUGUUCGGAAUUACUGGGCGUAAAGCGCGUGUAGGCGGCAAUGCAAGUCGGGCGUGAAAUCCCACGGCUCAACCGUGGAAGUGCACUCGAAACUGCAUAGCUAGAGUCCUGGAGAGGAAGGUGGAAUGCUUGGUGUAGAGGUGAAAUUCGUAGAUAUCAAGCGGAACACCGGUGGCGAAGGCGGCCUUCUGGACAGUGACUGACGCUGAGACGCGAAAGCGUGGGGAGCAAACAGG